rnacentral:rRNA from 1 species
UGGACUUGACAUCCCUUGCAUAGCCUAGAGAUAGGUGAAGCCCUUCGGGGCAAGGAGACAGGUGGUGCAUGGUUGUCGUCAGCUCGUGUCGUGAGAUGUUAGGUUAAGUCCUGCAACGAGCGCAACCCUUGUUAUUAGUUGCUACCAUUAAGUUGAGCACUCUAAUGAGACUGCCUGGGUAACCAGGAGGAAGGUGGGGAUGACGUCAAAUCAUCAUGCCCCUUAUGUCCAGGGCUACACACGUGCUACAAUGGUAGGUACAAUAAGAGGCAAGACCGUGAGGUGGAGCAAAACUUAUAAAGCCUAUCUCAGUUCGGAUUGUAGGCUGCAACUCGCCUACAUGAAGCUGGAGUUGCUAGUAAUCGCGAAUCAGAAUGUCGCGGUGAAUACGUUCCCGGGCC